AGAAUAAUUAAUCUUCCUUUUUUUUUACCGGUAAAUAUCUUUUUUCUUGUUUAAAGAAAAUGGCACAUUUCAUGCAGUGGAAGACCCAAAUUCUGAAAGUAACAAUCCUUUUUAAACUAUUUGUUAUAUUGUAUAGUUGUAUAGACAAUUUGAAUUAACUGUUUAUAAUUGAAUAUAAACCUGCAGAAAAAAAGACGGUAAAGAAAUAUAUACAUAUAGGCCUAAACAAUUAAAUCUCAUUAAUUUCCAUUUUAAAUUUAAAUUAAAUUAAAUGAAUUGUACUGAGAUUCAGUUAGAGUUGGUUCAUAAGUAUAAUAUUGGUUCAAAUGUGGAUAAGAGAUGAUCAUAUCUUGACCCUCCCAGAACCCCGGCCAGUGAAGUGUGAGGGGAAUUGGAUCAUGGUCGGAGGACUCUUUGGUUCUGCGGUCAUCAUCCUGGUUCUUGUAAUUGGCGGACUCGUUUUUAGAACAUCAACGUAAACUUCAAAAAGAUGCUACAAAUCAACCUCAAAUACAGGAAAGCCAGGGUCAGGAGCUAGAUGAAGUUAGCUACUCUAUGUUGAGUUUCCGUCAGAAGAACAGAAGAGGGGGGCCCAGACCUAAGGACCUAGACACGGCCAUUGUGUACGC